GUGCAGGUGGCCCCUGAAGGACAGCAGCUGAGGUGCAGGUGGCCCCUGAAGGACAGCAGCUGAGGUGCAGGUGGCCCCUGAAGGACAGCAGCUGAGGUGCAGGUGGCCUCUGGACUGUGGCAAAUGUGCGGUGUGUUUCUUUGAUAGAAAGGAGGCUUUGGGUAUUAGUUGAGCAAAACCACAUACCCGUGCUUGUUGCAAUCGCUCGUUCUCAC